AUCCAACUGACGAGUCCCAAAUAGGACGGAAUACGUGUCAAACUAGAU
rnacentral:hammerhead_ribozyme from 1 species